ACGGAAGUCCGGCCUAUCUCGUGCCGGUAGCCAAGAUGGCGGCAUGGUCUCCGCGGCAGCUGAGGCCUUCCUGCCCGGGGGCGCCGGCAGGCGGGGGGUGCGCGCCCCGCGGAGGAGCCCCGUCCGCGCCCCUCCCUCGCUGGCCGAGCCUGCCCCCUCGCCACCUCUCCCCGCGCUGACGAGAGGCUUCUCCGGAGCAGAAACCUGCGAAAGAAGACCAAGAACAUGAUUGCUUGCAAGCUGUGGACUGCAUCUAUGCCAAGCCGUCCUGACCUUAAAGAUGAACCUCUCCAAAAUGCAGACAUUGAUCUGUACACAGAUGGAGGCAGCUUCAUGUAAGAUGGACAAUGUAAGCUGGCUACAGAGUAGUGACUGACCAUGAAGUUCUGGUGGUGAAAUCUCUUUCUCCGGGUAUCUCAGCAGAGCUUGCAGAGCUCAUCACCUUCAAGUAAGCAGGUGUGCAACCGACCCGGAACAAUGGUCAAGUGCGAGGGAAGGAGUACCUGGUCCUGGAUUCUUCCAUCCAAUUGUCAAGGAAGUCCCCAGAGGACAACUCUGACCUGGAGCAGGCUGGGAUGCCCGCCGUCAACAGCAGUUGCCUGAGGAGGGUCCCCGUUUGCGUUUCCAGUCUAGGCCAAUGGUGAUGGAACGUCCAUCGGCAGCCCUGUCCUGUGUUCAAGGAAGAGGCCCUGAUGCAAGUUUCCUGUUCCUGCUCCUCCUGCGUCCCAGAGUGCUGUGGGUGAAGAUUUGACGCCAGAUACCUGAGGAGUGCCUGAUGGCUAACAUGCUACCCAAAUAUCCAACUGCCCCUGGAUUAUUUGCUAUCUCAAGAAGCUACUAAGGGGGGUGGGAGUUGAUUUGUUGAUUUGCUCCACUUCCUUGUGGUGACGAUGUGCUGCUAUUAUUGCGGAACUCAGACUGGUGGGUACUGUGGGGGAGAUCAGAAGAUGCCUACAUCCUGUGCCAAUCAUCUUACUGUCCUACCCAAGGCACCUUACCCAAGUCUGCACCUUUCUCCAACUUGAAAGUUCUUUUGUGCCCUACGGACAUUAUUUGAGACUUCUUAGGCCUGUUCUGGAUGUGAGAAAACUGGCUAGCUAAAGUUAAUUUCCUGAGCACCUAUAUACUUGUUAUCUGAUGUGACUGUAAGUAUACCUGAUUCCAAAAUGAUACUCUUUAUCAUUGCCAUUGCUUUCCAUGAGCUAAUAAUCCAUUAAUCACCGGAGGCCCUUGGCUCCAUUAAGCUCUCUGCACAAUCAUUCCUGGAAUUGGAAUGUCAGACACAGAAAGGAAUGUGGCAGGUAUUUCUGGUGAAAUGGAAUUGGCUUGGAACGCGGCUGUACAUGCUAUUGAUGUUGUGUAUGCAUUCUCGACAAUUUUGGGACUGAUUAUGAUUGAAAAAAUGUAUGAUAGUUUUGAUACUGGCCUUAUGUGGUGUGUUGGGAAAUGUUAACGGCAAGAUUCAGAGAACCACCAGAGGGUUUUAUCUGUUAUAGACAGAACAAAACCAAAGCCCAUACUUAUGUGGUUUGGAUAAAAGAGCUAACCCAUGGUUAGUAUGGGUCCUGAAAUCAGGCUUUCCAGGUUCAGAUUCUUAGAUAAACACCCCAGGACACCCAUGUAGGGACAGACGUUCUACCUAAAUUGCCAAAGAAGGUUAUCUCAGGAGAUACAGUGGGUAUUGAAAAGAAUCACCCCCUUUGAUAGACCUUAAAUUCUGGUUCCCUUACAUCCUGAAAUGAAAACACAAAGAAAAUUCCCUUCACCAGCUGUACUUAUCCAAUGCAACCUAUAACAUCCAACUGAAAAACAUCACAAUUACAGUCCAGAACAAGUGUCAGAAAUAAAAAACAAGAAUUACUGAGAUUGAAAAAGGAUCACCCCCCCAGUGUCAAUAUUUUGUUGAACCACCUUUUGCUUUAAUAACAGCCUUGAGUCUGCUGGGAUACUUCUCUAUCAACCUUGCACAUCUAGACGGAGCAAUAUUUGCCCACUCCUCCAUACAGAACUGUUCAAGUUCGGUCACAUUGGAUGGUAGGUGUUGGUGGACUGCUAUCUUCAAAUCUCCCCACAGAUUUUCUAUGGGAUUUAGGUCUGGGCUCUGACUGGGCCACAUGAGGACGUUCACUUUUUUCUCCUUCAGCCACUGUGUGGUCAAUUUUGCUGUGUGCUUCGGAUCGUUGUCAUGUUGAAAGGUGAAUCUUCUGCCCAUCCUCAACUGUCUGGCAGAGGGUAGCAGGUUUUCUUCCAGAAUCUGACGGUAUUUUGCCCCAUCCAUUUUUCCUUCUACCCUAACGAGAGCCCCAGUCCCUGAGGCAGAGAAACACCCCCACAACAGGAUGCUGCCACCUCCAUGCUUCACUGUAGGUAUGGUGUGUUGUGGAAAAAAUGUGGCUUGUUCGGGAGGGUCGCAAGGAGAAAGCCACUUCUCAAGAAAGGCCACAUUAAAGCUCGUUUCAGCUUUGCCAGAAGGCACCUUGAAGAUUCUGAUGCCAAAUGGAAAAAGGUCUUAUGGUCAGAUGAGACCAAGAUUGAACUAUUUGGCCUCAACACCAAACAGUACACCUGGCGUAAAUCCAACGCAGCUCACCAUCCACAACACACCAUACCUACAGUGAAGCAUGGAGGUGGCAGCAUCCUGUUGUGGGGGUGUUUCUCUGCCUCAGGGACUGGGGCUCUCGUUAGGGUAGAAGGAAAAAUGGAUGGGGCAAAAUACCGUCAGAUUCUGGAAGAAAACCUGCUACCCGCUGCCAGACAGUUGAGGAUGGGCAGAAGAUUCACCUUUCAACAUGACAACGAUCCGAAGCACACAGCAAAAUUGACCACACAGUGGCUGAAGGAGAAAAAAGUGAACGUCCUCAUGUGGAUUCUUGUUUUUUAUUUCUGACACUUUUUCUGGACUGUAAUUGUGGUGUUUUUCAGUUGGAUGUUAUAGGUUGCAUUGGAUAAGUACAGCUGGUGAAGGGAAUUUUCUUUGUGUUUUCAUUUCAGGAUGUAAGGGAACCAGAAUUUAAGGUCUAUCAAAGGGGGUGAUUCUUUUCAAUACCCACUGUAGACUUAGUAUGGUAAAGAUUCCUGGAUAUGUGUUUGGUGGAGCAGUGUUGGUCAUGCUUGUUACUGUAUGCUGUUGUAUUUUGAUUUCCAUAAUGAUGUCUAUGGGUAAUACACGGAGCAUGCCAAAGCCAACGCCUGAGGUAGCGCAAUAUCUUCAUGAGUGUGAUAGUGAGGCUUGAAAAAGGAGCAUGUGGUAGCACUUUUUGGCCUCAAGGGGGGAAUGUUACCUGUAAAUCUAAGCAUUUCAUAUUGAUCUAUAUGUAUUGAUCCUAGGGUAUAUAGUUAAUGGAGAACUGAGCUCUUGCUACACCAUUUGGAUGGUAGCUGAAGAGAGCAAGAGUCCCCUCCAUCUUGUAUUCCUGAAUGUAUGUCAGUGGGAAAGAAUCUGCUUAGUAUGCUUUGGUUUUCAUACUCUGUGCCUUGCAGACCUUGUAACUUGCAACAUAGUAUGUAUUCUCUAUGCCUUGCUUUGUUCUAGCCUACUGGUCAGGAGAGGUGAUGAUGCUGGUAUCUGAACUGCCUCCUCGAAAGCUGCAUAAGCACUCCUUUAACAAUGGUAGUAUUGUAAGCCUGUUGGCCUAAUAUGGAGUUGUCCGGCCCGACUACCUGGCUGGCUUGUUGUGAAUGAUGAUGUAUUCAGAUGUAUCAAUUGUUGUAUAAAAGCUUUGGACGGACACCAUCUUAGGUCCGUCUUGUCUUUGGGAGCUAUCCCCUAGACGGCCACUUUGUUAACGCUGCAGAAUUCAAUAAAGUAUCUUUGAACUAUAAA